GGGUCCAUUGCUGGGAAAUGGAACUACUUUCUCUAAAGGUCCUCUGACAGGAGAGACCAAAGACAUGGCAGGCAGGAAAUUCCAGGACCCAUUAGAAAUCAUGUGGCAAAUGCUGAAGGAAUGUCUGCAGAGAAGACAAGAAAUGAAAGGAGAGCCUGCGGAGAAAGAAGCAUUUCCCGGAGGAAGCAGUGGUUGCAUGCCAGCCUCAGCUCCAGGAAGGGAGGCCAUGCCAGGCACAGGCACAGGAGAUGAGGGUGCUGGGAAGGCUUCUCCAUCAGCUUGGAUGAAUAAAGUUUUGAAGCCCUUGGAGCCUCCUGCAGAUGUGUCUACAGGGAAGACUUCUCCAGCUUCUCCAGCUGCUACCUUGGAUGCUGCACUCAAGCCCAGCUCCCAUCUCAGGGGUACUCCAACAGGGAAAAUCCAAGAUACAACAGAUAAGAUAUCCCUAGAACGAUCCAAACAGAUGAGGC